rnacentral:misc_RNA from 1 species
GAUGAAGAACGUAGCGAAAUGCGAUAAGUAAUGUGAAUUGCAGAAUUCAGUGAAUCAUCGAAUCUUUGAACGCACAUUGCGCCCGCCAGUAUUCUGGCGGGCAUGCCUGUCCGAGCGUCAUUUCAACCCUCGAGCCCCUCCGGGGGGUCGGCGUUGGGGAUCGGCCCCUCACCGGGCCGCCCCCGAAAUACAGUGGCGGUCUCGCCGCAGCCUCUCCUGCGCAGUAGUUUGCACACUCGCACCGGGAGCGCGGCGCGGCCACAGCCGUAAAACACCCCAAGCAUUCUGAAAUGUUGACCUCGGAUCAGGUAGGAAUACCCGCUGAACUUAAGCAUAUCAAUAAGCGGAGGGA